rnacentral:rRNA from 1 species
CCCUUAGAUGCUCUGGGCCGCACGCGUGCUACACUGGUCGAUGCAACGAGUUUCUUUCCUUGGCCGACAGGCCUGGGCAAUCUUUGAACAUCGAUCGUGAUCGGGAUAGAUUCUUGUAAUUUUUGAUCUUAAACGAGGAAUUCCUAGUAAACGCAAGUCAUCAGCUUGCAUUGAUUACGUCCCUGCCCUUUGUACACACCGCCCGUCGCACCUACCGAUUGAAUGGUCCGGUGAAAUCUCCGGACUGGCGUGAGUCGGAGCAAUCUGACAAACACCGGAAAGUUGAUUAAACCUUACCAUUUAGAGGAAGGUGAAGUCGUAACA